rnacentral:rRNA from 1 species
CCUACGGGAGGCAGCAGUGGGGAAUAUUGGACAAUGGGGGCAACCCUGAUCCAGCCAUACCGCGUGUGUGAAGAAGGCCUUCGGGUUGUAAAGCACUUUCAGUGGGGAGGAAAAGGCUCCGGCUAAUAUCCGGGGCUCGUGACGCUACCCACAGAAGAAGCACCGGCAAACUCCGUGCCAGCAGCCGCGGUAAU